rnacentral:rRNA from 1 species
ACGAACGCUGGCGGCGUGCUUAACACCUGCAAGUCGAACGGAAAGGCCCUGCUUUUGUGGGGUGCUCGAGUGGCGAACGGGUGAGUAACACGUGAGUAACCUGCCCUUGACUUUGGGAUAACUUCAGGAAACUGGGGCUAAUACCGGAUAGGAGCUCCCGCUGCAUGGUGGGGGUUGGAAAGUUUCGGCGGUUGGGGAUGGACUCGCGGCUUAUCAGCUUGUUGGUGGGGUAGUGGCUUACCAAGGCUUUGACGGGUAGCCGGCCUGAGAGGGUGACCGGCCACAUUGGGACUAAGAUACGGCCCAGACUCCUACGGGAGGCAGCAGUGGGGAAUAUUGCACAAUGGGCGGAAGCCUGAUGCAGCAACGCCGCGUGCGGGAUGACGGCCUUCGGGUUGUAAACCGCUUUCGCCUGUGACGAAGCGUGAGUGACGGUAAUGGGUAAAGAAGCACCGGCUAACUACGUG